rnacentral:misc_RNA from 1 species
GUGGUAACCGACUUGACAUAUUUAAGCACACCCCUUUCUUCGCUCGUAGAUCAACUUAGGCGAAGGGCCAUUCGCUAGACUGCAUAAGCUAGGGCGCUUUUUUUGGCAAAUGGGGGCUCAGCCCGCCCGAUUGUGCCACUGACAUUGGUCCAACUCUUUGUACGAGCACCUCCUUGUACCCCCACGCCCUUCGCACUCGAAUAAGAUAGAGUUAGGUUUCCCACGAUGGAAUAGGGGGGACGUAACAUUUUGAGUUUUGUCUGGUGAGGAGGCU